rnacentral:rRNA from 1 species
GGCAAAAUGAGAGCCUAACUGUCUCUUAUAACAAAUCAAUUAAACUGAUCUCCCAGUACAAAAGCUGGGAUACCCACAUAAGACCAGAAGACCCUGUGAAGCUUUAACUAACCUAUUAAACCACAUAAUAGCUAGUUUCGGUUGGGGCGACCUUGGAAUAAAAAAGAACUUCCAAAAAAAUGAUCUUCUCAUAUAAAAGGCAGACAAGCCACAAUUAGACCCAGAACUUCUGAUACAUGAACCAAGUUACUCCAGGGAUAACAGCGCUAUCUUCUUUAAGAGCCCAUAUCAAAAAGAAGGUUUACGACCUCGAUGUUGGAUCAGGACAUCCUAGCAAUGCAACAGUUACUAAGGGUUCGUUUGUUCAACGAUUAAUAGUCCUACGUGA